CCUACGGGAGGCAGCAGUCGGGAAUAUUGCGCAAUGGAGGAAACUCUGACGCAGUGACGCCGCGUAUAGGAAGAAGUUUUUCGGAAUGUAAACUAUUGUCGUUAGGGAAGAGAAAGGACAGUACCUAAGGAGGAAGCUCCGGCUAACUACGUGCCAGCAGCCGCGGUAAUACGUAGGGAGCGAGCGUUAUCCGGAAUUAUUGGGUGUAAAGGGUGCGUAGACGGGAAAACAAGUUAGUUGUGAAAUCCCUCGGCUUAACUGAGGAACUGCAACUAAAACUAUUUUUCUUGAGUGCAGGAGAGGUAAGUGGAAUUCCUAGUGUAGCGGUGAAAUGCGUAGAUAUUAGGAGGAACACCAGUGGCGAAGGCGACUUACUGGACUGUAACUGACGUUGAGGCACGAAAGUGUGGGGAGCAAACAGGAUUAGAUACCCCAGUAGUC
rnacentral:rRNA from 1 species